UGGGGAAUUUUGGACAAUGGGCGAAAGCCUGAUCCAGCAAUGCCGCGUGUGUGAAGAAGGCCUUCGGGUUGUAAAGCACUUUUGUCCGGAAAGAAAUCCUUGGCUCUAAUACGUCGGGGGAUGACGGUCCGGAAGAAUAAGCACCGGCUAACUACGUGCCAGCAGCCGCGGUAAUACGUAGGGUGCAAGCGUUAAUCGGAAUUACUGGGCGUAAAGCGUGCGCAGGCGGUUUGCUAAGACCGAUGUGAAAUCCCCGGGCUCAACUGGGAACUGCAUUGGUGACUGGCAGGCUAGAGUAUGGCAGAGGGGGGUAGAAUUCCACGUGUGAGCAGUGAAAUGCGUAGAGAUGUGGAGGAAUACCGAUGGCGAAGGCAGCCCCC
rnacentral:rRNA from 1 species